CUCUUCUUCAUGAAGCUUUGGAUGAGUAAACAAGAUCAGUCACAAAAUGUGAAAGAAAGAAAGACAGAAAGAACAUACAACUCUUCCUGUAGCUUUCUUCUCCCUCUUUUCCGUUGAAAAUAUGGACAAUAGAGUUUGUUGUCUCAUCAAGGUGAAGGACACCGUACUGAUUGAUUUAGGGACUGGCAAGAUACCCAACUUUAUCAAAUUGGACACAGAUCUCAAGACUGAGUCCCCAGUGAAUUUGUGACCCCACAAUGGAGAUCUAAUGGAGGUUUCUGGAGCAGUUGGCACAUCUCUAGGAGACACAUCUUGAAUUUCAGAAGAAAUAUGUGCCAUCUCAAAUAAAAUUUUCUUCAGCUACUUUUCUCACCUUGUUUUUCAACCCUGCGAGUUCACAUGCUGCUUUGGCAGACCUACACAGAUAAACCGUCUAGACCAUCACAGUGGUUCUCAACCUGAGUAGCUGUGACACCACAAGAUGACUGGUCUCCUAGCAAUUAAAGUGUAACAUUCAGCCAGUGUUCACUUCCCUAUGAAAUUUAUCCAGUUAAAGCAAGAUAUGGGCUGCUUAC